rnacentral:lncRNA from 1 species
UCCUCCUAUAUUAAAUACAACUUUGGCUUCUCGGCCUGAAUGAAUGAAUAAAAAUAAAUAACUAAAUAAAUAAAAACAACAAUAAUAAAUGACUUAAAUAAAUAAAUAAAUGAAAUGGAAACCGAGACUUUCAAGUCUCUUGGCCGCUUCAAAUGUGGGAUAUUAACCCACUCUUCUUCUUCCAACUCCUUGUAUCCGUACACUAUGAGAUUGUUUCC